CAAUGCUGGGAGUUGUGGUUAUUUAACUGGGACUGUAUGUCAGGGCUGAAGGGAGGGAUGUUAUUUGGAACUCUGUGUUGGAGGUGACUGGGAGGGGGUCAUGUUUUUUACAUGGGACUGUAUUUUGAUAGUGUCUGUAGGAGGUAGUGAUGUUAUUUACAUAGGACUGUAUGUUGGAGGGGGCUGGGGCAGGGAGAGAUGUUAAAGAGGACCUUUCAC